UACGGAGGAUGCAAGCGUUAUCCGGAAUGAUUGGGCGUAAAGGGUCCGCAGGUGGCCAUGUGUGUCUGCUGUCAAAGAAUGAGGCUUAACCUCAUCAAGGCAGUGGAAACUACAUAGCUAGAGUACGGUCGGGGUAGAAGGAAUUCCUGGUGUAGCGGUGAAAUGCGUAGAGAUCAGGAAGAACACCGGUGGCGAAAGCGUUCUGCUAGACCUGUACUGACACUGAGGGACGAAAGCUAGGGGAGCGAAUGGG
rnacentral:rRNA from 1 species